AUUGCUGCACGGCAGCUGGAUGAACUUGGGGACACAAGCACCCUCGCUGAUCCUGGUGUCGUUGACCAGCUGAUUGCGCUCAGUGAUUGCUAGGCUGUAAUGAAUUGGGUGGUGGAUGCAUCCUUUGCGUGCAUGUUCCAUUUCUCUUCCUGUAUGAUGAGUAGAAUGUGCAUUUCAGUGUCAGAGAACUAAACUGGGGUGUGAUAUGUUGUUUUGACGUUUCUUUUUUAGAACUUUUGCAUUGCAUAUCGAGGUAGGUGCAUCGAAAUGUAUUAUUGAUUGACACAAUAAGAUAUCAAUAAAUCGUUAAAUUUAAUUUUGGUUUCUUUUGGAUAAACCGUACCCUCGUUUUUUUUGGGUGGCGAAAUUCUAACCUUUUUGGAGUUCACCUUACUUUUGGAUCUUAUAGAUUCAUUAAACCUUCUACGCAUGCCCCAAACUUAAGGGAGUGAACCUAGAUUAGUUUCAACUGGUAAUCUGUACCAUAUGUCAUCUGAAUCCCAGCCUGUAAGCAAUUGCCAUAUGCAUGACCAUUUACUAUAUACAAAGUGUUCAGUGAGAAUGGACUCCCCUGCAACUGGUAACAGCCAUUGCCCAGCUGAGCUGAUGGACUAGCACCAGGGUCUCAUUCCUGAAAAAAAAUCAUGUAAGGAUCCAUCACCUAUGGCCAUGCGAGUUCACUAAGAAGUCCAGUGCUAACCAUUUCAAUUGCACCACAGAUUGCAAGCUGGUCCAGUGUC
rnacentral:lncRNA from 1 species